AGCUUUGCACAGUGGCCUUGUGGUAGCCAAUGAGGUUUAUCUGAGGCGCGAUUGUUGCUAAUUGAAAUAGUGUUCAGCAAAUACUAGAUGCUCAAUAAAUGUUCAUUGAACGAAUGAAUCAGUGAAUACAAUGCAAGCAG